rnacentral:rRNA from 1 species
GUCCAGGGGGCCGCCUUCGCCACCGGUAUUCCUCCAGAUCUCUACGCAUUUCACCGCUACACCUGGAAUUCUACCCCCCUCUACAAGACUCAAGCCUGCCAGUUUCAAAUGCAGUUCCCAGGUUGAGCCCGGGGAUUUCACAUCUGACUUAACAGACCGCCUGCGUGCGCUUUACGCCCAGUAAUUCCGAUUAACGCUUGCACCCUCCGUAUUACCGCGGCUGCUGGCACGGAGUUAGCCGGUGCUUCUUCUGCGAGUAACGUCAAUCACUAAGGUUAUUAACCUUAACGCCUUCCUCCUCGCUGAAAGUACUUUACAACCCGAAGGCCUUCUUCAUACACGCGGCAUGGCUGCAUCAGGCUUGCGCCCAUUGUGCAAUAUUCCCCACUGCUGCCUCCCGUAGGAGUCUGGACCGUGUCUCAGUUCCAGUGUGGCUGGUCAUCCUCUCAGACCAGCUAGGGAUCGUCGCCUAGGUGAGCCAUUACCCCACCUACUAGCUAAUCCCAUCUGGGCACAUCUGAUGGCAUGAGGCCCGAAGGUCCCCCACUUUGGUCUUGCGACGUUAUGCGGUAUUAGCUACCGUUUCCAGUAGUUAUCCCCCUCCAUCAGGCAGUUUCCCAGACAUUACUCACCCGUCCGCCGCUCGUCACCCGAGAGCAAGCUCUCUGUGCUACCGCUCGACUUGCAUGUGUUAGGCCU